rnacentral:rRNA from 1 species
UACAGAGGUCUCAAGCGUUGUUCGGAUUCACUGGGCUUAAAGCGUGUGUAGGCGGAUCGUUAAGUGCCUUGUGAAAUCCCACGGCUUAACUGUGGAACGGCUGGGCAUACUGGCGGUCUUGAGCCAUCUAGGGGCGACUGGAACAAACGGUGGAGCGGUGAAAUGCGUAGAUAUCGUUUGGAACGCCAAUGGUGAAAACAGGUCGCUGGGGAUGAGCUGACGCUGAGACACGAAAGCCAGGGGAGCAAACGGG